AAGCCAUGCAYGUCUCAGUACAAGCCGAAUUAAGGUGAAACCGCGAAAGGCUCAUUAAAUCAGUUAUGGUUCCUUAGAUCGUACCCACAAUYACUYGGAUAACUGUGGUAAUUCUAGAGCUAAUACAUGCAAACAGAGCUCCGACCGGAGACGGAAGGAGUGCUUUUAUUAGAUCAAAAMCAAUCGGUGGCGGGUUCGCUCGUUAUCGUACAACUUGGUGACUCUGAAUAACUUUACGCUGAUCGCACGGUCAUCGCACCGGCGACGCAUCUUUCAAAUGUCUGCCUUAUCAACUGUCGAUGGUAGGUUCUGCGCCUACCAUGGUUGUAACGGGUAACGGGGAAUCAGGGUUCGAUUCCGGAGAGGGAGCCUGAGAAACGGCUACCACAUCCAAGGAAGGCAGCAGGCGSGCAAAUUACCCACUCCCGGCACGGGGAGGUAGUGAMRAAAAAUAASGAUACGGGUAUCAUCCGAGGCCCCGUAAUC
rnacentral:rRNA from 1 species